UACGGAGGGUGCAAACGUUGCUCGGAAUCAUUGGGCGUAAAGCGCACGUAGGCGGUCUGUUAAGUCGGGUGUGAAAGCCCUGGGCUCAACCCAGGAAGUGCACUCGAAACUGGCAGGCUUGAAUAUGGAAGAGGGUCGCGGAAUUCCCGGUGUAGAGGUGAAAUUCGUAGAUAUCGGGAGGAACACCAGUGGCGAAGGCGGCGACCUGGGCCAAUAUUGACGCUGAGGUGCGAAAGCGUGGGGAGCAAACAGG
rnacentral:rRNA from 1 species